GAAGCAAAGUGGCUGCUGCUGCUGCCAGCUCAAGCAGUCCUUCAAGCUGCGAAUAAUUGCUGUUGUUUUGUUGUUGUUGUUUUGCUUUGCUUUAAAUUUACAUGCAUGUUUGUACUGUUGUACUGAUUAUACAGUUGCGAUCUACUUCAGUGCAAUAUUCACUUGCACGCUUGUAACUGUAAAUAGCAAUCUAUUUGCUUCCAAUAAUAUCCUGUGCCCACGCGAACGCGACGGGAGCGCCAAUAAUGGGCAGUCGUUCGGGAGAAGUGCGUCAUCGUUUUGCUCAGCGCCAGAAGUUUGUGGCUCGAAUGUGUCAGCUGCAGGCACAGCCGGCACAGGCGGUGCGCACAGAGCGCGUUUGUGUGAAGCCAGCGGCAUGAAAACGUGCUCAAAGCCGCUGGGGAGUGCUGAUGUCAAUCCGCAGGUGUAAUAACGGUUCACAUGUGCAGCAGAUGCACAAAUGACUGCAUACAUAUGUAUAUACUAUAAAUACACCGAUAUACACCUGCAUGCAUGCCCACCCGAAAUCACCGUUAUUCGUGCAACUUUUUAAACUCGCAUACGUAAAUUGAAAUCGUCUUGCGUAUUUACCGCUAAUUUACGUUCACACACAUUUUCACCAAUUCGUGUGGCCACACCUUGCAAUUGUAAACAAAAUUAUUACAAAGCCACGAAUGUGUCCAAAGUGCAACAGUAGUUUAUAUUUAGUCGGUAAACUAUUUUAAGCGAGAAAACCCUAUUACAGUGGCGCAUUUUACAAAUUACACAGGAAGAAACGAACCAGCUUCACGAAAGGUAAUAUUACAGCCAUUGUCUACUCAAUGUGAGACAGAAAGGAAUUUCAAAAAUUACCGUAAUGACAGUGGCGCCACCUGUCGAUAAUUGGUCGUACUAACUCAGAGGUGUUCUUUGGCUCAUGCACAACUUCGCUAAGGACUAUCAUAUGAUCAAAUGCAUAAUUUACGAUUCCAUAAGGGACAUAUGGUAUAUGUGUUACAAGCUUCAUGAGAAAAUCCACAGACACCUCAAAUUUAAUGGCGAAUGUUUAUUAUCAUUCAAAAGAACAUUAUUUGGCAACAACUUUUUGAAGACUCUCUCUUUCAAGGGUUGGCCACG